UACGAAGGGGGCUAGCGUUGCUCGGAAUUACUGGGCGUAAAGGGCUCGUAGGCGGCCAACUAAGUCAGACGUGAAAUCCCCAGGCUUAACCUGGGAACUGCGUCUGAUACUGGAUGGCUUGAAUUCGGGAGAGGGAUGCAGAAUUCCAGGUGUAGCGGUGAAAUGCGUAGAUAUCUGGAGGAAUACCGGUGGCGAAGGCGGCAUCCUGGACCAACACUGACGCUGAGGAGCGAAAGCCAGGGGAGCAAACGGG
rnacentral:rRNA from 1 species